UACGUAGGCAGCAAGCGUUGUUCGGAGUUACUGGGCGUAAAGCGUGCGUAGACGGUCAUGUAAGUCGGGUGUGAAAGCCCCGGGCUCAACCUGGGAAUUGCAUUCGAGACUGCAUGGCUAGGAUGCGGAAGAGGGAAGCGGAAUUUCCGGUGUAGCGGUGAAAUGCGUAGAUAUCGGAAGGAACCCCAGUGGCGAAAGCGGCUUCCUGGUCCAGCAUCGACGUUCAGGCACGAAAGCGUGGGGAGCAAACAGG
rnacentral:rRNA from 1 species